rnacentral:rRNA from 1 species
UACGUAGGGUGCGAGCGUUGUCCGGAAUUACUGGGCGUAAAGAGCUCGUAGGUGGUUUGUCGCGUUGUUCGUGAAAACUCACAGCUUAACUGUGGGCGUGCGGGCGAUACGGGCAGACUGGAGUACUGUAGGGGAGACUGGAAUUCCUGGUGUAGCGGUGGAAUGCGCAGAUAUCAGGAAGAACACCCGUGGCGAAGGCGGCUCUCUGGGACGGUACUGACGCUGAGACGCGAAAGCGUGGGGAGCGAACAGG